rnacentral:rRNA from 1 species
UGAAUACGAGACGCUAAGGCGUCGAAGUAGUGUAUGUCAUACUUCCAAGAAAAGCUUGCACUGUCAUAAGUAAAAAAUGCCUGUACCAUAACCGACACAGGUGGGUAGGUAGAGUAUACUAAGGGGCGCGAGAUAACUCUCUCUAAGGAACUCGGCAAAAUAACUCCGUAACUUCGGGAGAAGGAGUACCUUAUUCUAUAAGGUUGCAAUAACAAGAUCCAAGCAACUGUUUAUCAAAAACACAGGUCUCCGCUAAGUCGUAAGACGAUGUAUGGGGGCUGACGCCUGCCCAGUGCCAGAAGGUUAAAGAAGUCGGUUAGCAUUAGCGAAGCUGGUAACUGAAGCCCUGGUGAACGGCGGCCGUAACAAUAACGGUCCUAAGGUAGCGAAAUUCCUUGUCGGGUAAGUUCCGACCCGCACGAAAGGCGUAAUGAUUUGGAUACUGUCUCGGAGAGGGGCUCGGUGAAAUAGACUUGUCUGUGAAGAUGCGGACUACCUGCACCAGGACAGAAAGACCCUAUGAAGCUUUACUGUAACUUGAAAUUGAAAUUGGACUUUAUUCGCGCAGUAUAGGUGGGAGGUGUUGAUUAUAAUCUUGCGGGAUUAUUGGAGCCAUCAGUGAGAUACCACUCUUGUAAUGUUAGAUUUCUAACUUUGAAUCAUUAUCUGGUCAAAGGACAGUUUCAGGCGGGCAGUUUGACUGGGGCGGUCGCCUCCCAAACGUAACGGAGGCGUACAAAGGUUUCCUCUGAACGGGUAGAAAUCGUAUCUAGAGUGUAAAGGCAUAAGGAAGCUUGACUGUGAGACCUACAAGUCGAACAGGGACGAAAGUCGGUCUUAGUGAUCUGACGGUACUGAGUGGAAAGGCCGUCACUCAACGGAUUAAAGUUACUCUAGGAUAACAGGCUGAUCUCCCCCAAGAGUUCACAUCGACGGGGAGGUUUGGCACCUCGAUGUCGGCUCAUCGCAUCCUGGGGCGGUAGUACGUCCCAAGGGUUGGGCUGUUCGCCCAUGAAAGCGGUACGCGAGCUGGGUUCAGAACGUCGUGAGACAGUUCGGUCCAUAUCCGGUGUAGGCGUUAGAAUAUUGAGAGGAGCCUUCUUUAGUACGAGAGGACCGAGAAGGACAUACCUCUGGUGUACCAGUUAUCGUGCCAACGGUAAACGCUGGGUAGCUAUGUAUGGAGUGGAUAACCGCUGAAAGCAUCUAAGUGGGAAGCCCACCUCAAGAUAAG